rnacentral:rRNA from 1 species
UACGUAGGGCGCGAGCGUUGUCCGGAAUUAUUGGGCGUAAAGAGCUCGUAGGCGGCUUGUCGCGUCGGUUGUGAAAGCCCGGGGCUUAACCCCGGGUCUGCAGUCGAUACGGGCAGGCUAGAGUUCGGUAGGGGAGAUCGGAAUUCCUGGUGUAGCGGUGAAAUGCGCAGAUAUCAGGAGGAACACCGGUGGCGAAGGCGGAUCUCUGGGCCGAUACUGACGCUGAGGCGCGACAGCGUGGGGAGCAAACAGG